rnacentral:sRNA from 2 species
GGACAAAGGUGUUCUCAGCAUCAGGAAAGGUGACCAAUAACUCACCCUUGUCAUUUCGCAUUUCGAACUUAUCAACAGCACUAACCUGCUUGCGGAGCUCCUGAUACAUACCCAGUUGGUCUAAGAUACGAAGGCCAUGCGGUUGGAAUCCGAUGCUGGCACCAACCUGGGGUGCAAUCUCUGGAUACGCUUCGAGCACGAGGAAGUCAAUGCCAUGCUUCUGAAGCAUAUUGGCCAGGGCUAGACCAGCGAUUCCUCCUCCUACUAUGAGAACCCGGAAUUUCUUUUUGUUCUCCAUCUCUCCUGGGGUUAGUUUUGCCCGGGUUCGCCCAGUUGCUUGUCCAGGCGGAGGAACUCACAGAGCAACAGUUGUUAUUGAGAUAAGAU